ACUUGUUGGGGUGGAUGAGUGGCGAACGGGUGAGUAACACGUGAGUAACCUGCCCUCCACUUCGGGAUAAGCACUGGAAACGGUGUCUAAUACUGGAUGUGACAUCAGCCUGCAUGGGUUGGUGUGGAAAGAUUUUUUGGUGGUGGAUGGACUCGCGGCCUAUCAGCUUGUUGGUGGGGUAAUGGCCUACCAAGGCGACGACGGGUAGCCGGCCUGAGAGGGUGACCGGCCACACUGGGACUGAGACACGGCCCAGACUCCUACGGGAGGCAGCAGUGGGGAAUAUUGCACAAUGGGCGCAAGCCUGAUGCAGCGACGCCGCGUGAGGGAUGACGGCCUUCGGGUUGUAAACCUCUUUCAGCCUUGACGAAGCCCUUUGGGGUGACGGUAGGGGCAGAAGAAGCACCGGCUAACUACGUGCCAGCAGCCGCGGUAAUACGUAGGGUGCGAGCGUUGUCCGGAAUUAUUGGGCGUAAAGAGCUUGUAGGCGGUUUGUCGCGUCUGCUGUGAAAGCCCGGGGCUUAACUCCGGGUCUGCAGUGGGUACGGGCAGGCUAGAGUGUGGUAGGGGAGACUGGAAUUCCUGGUGUAGCGGUGGAAUGCGCAGAUAUCAGGAGGAACACCGAUGGCGAAGGCAGGUCUCUGGGCCAUGACUGACGCUGAGAAGCGAAAGCGUGGGGAGCGAACAGGAUUAGAUACCCUGGUAGUCCACGCCGUAAACGUUGGGCGCUA
rnacentral:rRNA from 1 species